rnacentral:rRNA from 1 species
AGGAUGAACGCUAGCGGCAGGCUUAAUACAUGCAAGUCGAGGGGCAGCAGCUUUAUAGCAAUAUAGAGGCUGGCGACCGGCAAACGGGUGCGGAACACGUACACAACCUUCCUUGAAUAGGGGGAUAGCCCAUAGAAAUGUGGAUUAAUACCCCGUAAUAUAGCGGUGUGGCAUCACACUGUUAUUACAGUUUCGACGAUUCGAGAUGGGUGUGCGGCUGAUUAGGUAGUUGGCGGGGUAAAGGCCCACCAAGCCUUCGAUCAGUAGCUGAUGUGAGAGCAUGAUCAGCCACACGGGCACUGAGACACGGGCCCGACUCCUACGGGAGGCAGCAGUAAGGAAUAUUGGUCAAUGGACGCAAGUCUGAACCAGCCAUGCCGCGUGAAGGAUGAAGGUCCUCUGGAUUGUAAACUUCUUUUAUAGGGGGCGAAAAAAGGUCUUUCUAGAUCACUUGACAGUACCCUAUGAAUAAGCACCGGCUAACUCCGUGCCAGCAGCCGCGGUAAUACGGAGGGUGCAAGCGUUAUCCGGAUUCACUGGGUUUAAAGGGUGCGUAGGCGGGUAGGUAAGUCAGAGGUGAAAUCCUGGAGCUUAACUCCAGAACUGCCUUUGAUACUAUCUAUCUUGAAUAUGGUGGAGGUAAGCGGAAUAUGUCAUGUAGCGGUGAAAUGCAUAGAUAUGACAUAGAACACCUAUUGCGAAGGCAGCUUACUACGCCUAUAUUGACGCUGAGGCACGAAAGCGUGGGGAUCAAACAGG